GAUGAACGCUAGCUACAGGCUUAACACAUGCAAGUCGAGGGGCAGCGCAGUGUAGCAAUACAUGGGCGGCGACCGGCGCACGGGUGCGUAACGCGUAUCCAACCUUCCCGUUACUCAGGGAUAGCCUUCCGAAAGGGAGAUUAAUACCUGAUGGUGUUCAAAUUCCGCAUGUUAUUUGAACUAAGAUUUAUCGGUAACGGAUGGGGAUGCGUGACAUUAGAUAGUAGGCGGGGUAACGGCCCACCUAGCCUACGAUGUCUAGGGGUUCUGAGACGGAAGGUCCCCCANACUGGAACUGAGACACGGUCCAGACUCCUACGGGAGGCAGCAGUGAGGAAUAUUGGUCCAAUGGACGAGAGUCUGAACCAGCCAAGUAGCGUGCAGGAUGACGGCCCUCUGGGUUGUAAACUGCUUUUAGUGGAUAAAAGAGGGACGUGUCCCUUAUUGUAUGUACCAUCAGAAAAGGACCGGCU
rnacentral:rRNA from 1 species